GGGACAGCGGACGGGGGUCGGUAGCGCGGGGCCGGAGCGCACGGACGGGAGACAAGAGGAGGCCGGAGGCCUGAGCCCUGGACAUACCCAUGGGGGAUCUCUGAAUAGAUGAGUACCGGGCAAGCUGCUUGCAGUUAGAUCAUCCCCAAACCCCUGUCAGACAGGAUACUUACACAUCUCAAUGUCCUCCACACUCUUCUCAAUAUAUCUGCCAACAUCUGCUGGUUUCUGUUUCUUGUUCCUGGUCCCCCAUUGCUGCCUGAGCUUGCGCUCUCUCACACGGGCGUAGAUGGGCAUCUGCUGCUGCCAGAAUUCACUGCGUUUGUCCAGCAUUUCCAAGGAAACCACAACAGAGAGCGAGCCUCAGGAGCAGCACUCUGCGCUUCAUGCCAGUGCUAGCGGAAUUUAUCUUCAUGACAGAAGUCACUUGUAAUUAUACUGUUUCUGCUUUUGAUUUCAUCAGCACAGAUUGCUUGGAGUGGAUUUGUUGUUUGUUACAAAAGCCUGCCAUUUACUAGGGAAGGAAAUAUGCUCAGAUAUUCCCUCUGCUCUCCCAUCUGCCUGCCUCUCUCAUGACCUCUGCAAGCACCAUGUGCUACAUCAGCUCUGAUACAAAUAA